CUCGUUUCAAUGAGGAGACUGUGUUACCUGUGCAGCCACAAUAUGGCGAGACUUUCUGGAAGACAGCUGUGCCAAUAUCAUGCGAGGACUUGUUCACAUAUGAACCCUUUCUUGCUUCAGCCCUGUACUCCAGUUCACCUGUUGGGAUGGUGAGCAGACAUAAAAGAGUGAGCAGCCUGACUCAUGAGAAUCUGCCGCAUCCUUCACAGCUGAUGAGUAGAAUGAGAAGAUAUCACAGACUACAGAAACACACACCAAGCGUUCUGCAACAUAUAGGAGAACUCAGGAUGAAACAGCGCCAUAUAAAUGAGUGAGAGAGAGAAGGAUUGUGGGAGGAAAGGCAUGUUACGAAUGAACAAAUAUGUAUCAAAUGAGUCUAUUUUGCAAUAUUGCAGGCUGAAGGGGGACAAAUGGUGGGGUGCCACAGCUGUGCCCAGGCCAGAGGACAGCAGCGGCUCACCUGAGGGUGGAGAUGAGCAGCUUCUCGGUCCUGCAGCUGGUGUGAGCUUCAGUGCUAUGCUAAUGGACAGUCCUGAUGUGACCAUGACAAUGCCUUAUGAAGCUGCUCCCUCACCGACUCUUCUGUGCUCAUUUACAGAAUAUGAGCAGUUUCAUGACCUUGCUCCAGGAGGGAACCCCAUGAUGGCGUUUGUUUCGGGAACAGCCCAUAGAUCGCUCUUGAUGGCCGAUAAUGUGUGUGCCGCAGUGAAUUCUGGGACAUCUGAUAGGAUCCUCGGGAGCAAUGACGAUACGAUGUCACUUUUUUACUAGUUUCUGCAG
rnacentral:lncRNA from 1 species